UACGUAGGCAGCAAGCGUUGUUCGGAGUUACUGGGCGUAAAGGGUGCGUAGGCGGCUUUUUAAGUUGGUGUGAAAUCUCCCGGCUCAACUGGGAGGGUGCGCCGAAUACUGAGAGGCUAGAGUGUGGGAGAGGAAAGUGGAAUUCCUGGUGUAGCGGUGAAAUGCGUAGAUAUCAGGAGGAACACCGGUGGUGUAAACGGCUUUCUGGACCAUAACUGACGCUGAGGCACGAAAGCGUGGGUAGCAAACAGG
rnacentral:rRNA from 1 species